GACGAACCGUGCGAACGUUGUUCGGAAUCACUGGGCUUAAAGGGCGCGUAGGCGGGCUCACAAGUCAGGGGUGAAAUCCCACGGCUCAACCGUGGAAGUGCCUUUGAUACUGUGGGUCUUGAGGGAGGUAGGGGCGUGCGGAACUUCCGGUGGAGCGGUGAAAUGCGUAGAUAUCGGAAGGAACACCGGUGGCGAAAGCGGCGCGCUGGACCUCUACUGACGCUGAGGCGCGAAAGCCAGGGGAGCAAAGCGGG
rnacentral:rRNA from 1 species